rnacentral:rRNA from 1 species
CUUGGUCAUUUAGAGGAAGUAAAAGUCGUAACAAGGUCUCCGUAGGUGAACCUGCGGAGGGAUCAUUAUCGAGUUAAACGUUUGUCUUACGGGGCAAGCGCCAUCUCCAACCCUUUGUGAACACAUCUUGUUGCUUCGGGGGCGACCCUGCCGUUCGCGGCAUUCCCCCCGGAGGCCAUCAAAACACUGCAUUCUUACGUCGGAGUAUAAAGUUAAUUUAAUAAAACUUUCAACAACGGAUCUCUUGGUUCUGGCAUCGAUGAAGAACGCAGCGAAAUGCGAUAAGUAAUGUGAAUUGCAGAAUUCAGUGAAUCAUCGAAUCUUUGAACGCACAUUGCGCCCCCUGGUAUUCCGGGGGGCAUGCCUGUUCGAGCGUCAUUUCACCACUCAAGCCUCGCUUGGUAUUGGGCGUCGCGAGUCUCUCGCGCGCCUUAAAGUCUCCGGCUGUUUGACCCGUCUCCCAGCGUUGUGGCAACUAUCUCGCAGUGGAGUUCGAGUCGGAUUGGCCGUUAAAUCUUUCAAAGGUUGACCUCGGAUCAGGUAGGGAUACCCGCUGAACUUAAGCAUAUCAAUAAGCGGAGGA